rnacentral:tRNA from 1 species
GGAGAAUUGAUCCAUUCCGGUCAAUACAAAAUCCGCAGGUUUUGGCGCAAAACCCCUGUUCCAUCGGGCUUAUGUAUGCCUACAUGGAUACGCAUCCAUGUCGAUGGCGAUAAUGUUGCUCGGAAUCAUAAUCCGCAGGUCCGGGGUUCGAGUCCCUGAUUCGCCACCA